AAAAAGGUUUUACUAAAAACCAUAAAAGCAAAAGAAAAAUAGGAU
rfam:Trichobilharzia regenti genome assembly, scaffold: TRE_scaffold0006802